ensembl:lncRNA
GUCUGCGCAUCUCGGUUGCCAUAGAAACAUGACGUCAUUACCGCGACCAUGACGACUUAUCUCUAGAGACCGACGUAGCGUGACGAGGGGAGCGGGUCCCGCCUUGGGGGUUCAGGACUGAGUUGGGAGAGUGGGUACCUGCGGUGGGGGCUGGGCCGCUCUGGGGUGUGAGGAGACAAAGGGAUCUCGUCCAAGUCGCCUCUUUCUCGCUUUGGAGCUCGAUGCCCUGGCUGUCUCGGCGGUAAAGCCAUUGGGGUCCCGCCCCGGCCGCAGUGAGUGCGGUGUCCUGUUCCAGGGGUGCCCUGGAGCCACUUUCCUUCUAGAGGCAGGGGCGCGUCAGCUUCUAAGGCCAGUGGCCGAGCUCAUAUCAAGUGUCUGAAGGAGGCAGAUUCUGAGGGUCUGUGUCCUGAGGUUCGGCUGGAGUUUCUACUCUAGAUUCAAGGGCAGCUGUCCUGAAGAGACCCCCAACACUUCACACGUCUUUGGUGGGAUCUGGCUCCUGGCUCAAGUGAAUUUCCAGGACUCAGGAUGAAAUUUGGACUGAACUUGCUUGGAAUGGAGUCCAUUCAAGGUCAUACACCAUGAGGGGUGCACAUAAUUUGGAGUCUGGGACCCACUCGGAGCUCUAGGAGGAGGUGACUGCGGUUCUGCAAGGAGGGACAGCUGAGCGAGAAUCAGAAUCUCUUUCUGGAUCUUAGUGCCUGAGCCACCCAGUCAGUGACAAUGCUGGAUCCUUAACCUGCUGAGCCACCAGGGAACUCCAAAGGUUUGAAUCUUCUGAUAUCUACUGCCCUUGUCAACAUCGCCUGAAACUCAGCUUUAAAAAACUGUGUCUGCUCCUGUAUGUCAAACAGGUGACAGUUUCUUCAUGUAAGUAAUAUUUAUUCAGAGAUUUAUAUGUGAGGCAUUGAACUAAGAAGCACAGGGGACACAGCACAGAGGACAAAACAGGCAGGAUCCCUGAAGCUUUCAUUCAAGAAAACUGGCAAUAAGCAGGCAAGUCAGUAAGCGGGGCAAUUUUAUAUGGGGAUGAGUGCUUUGAAGAAAAUAAACACAUAAACACAAUAGAAAAUGUUGGGUCAGGGAUUACUAUAGAUGGGGUUGUCAGUGAAACUCUUUUUUUGUGUACCAUUAGUUUGGUGCCUACCAUGCAGUGGAAUUCCAACACUAGACUGAAUAAAAUUGGCUUUGAGAUUUAAUUAAUAUGCAAGACCCUUUGAAUAGUGCUAGGCACACAGUAACAGUUCAAUAACUGCUAGUUUUUUAUAAAUAGGAAGAAGUUGAUAGUUUGAUAGUUUUAAAGACCAUGAAGGUCUUUAAUAAAGCUUAAUCUUGCAACUGCAUCCUAUUCAUCAACUGAUGCAUUUUGUUUUUGUUUUUGGAGUUUUAUGAAGAUAAACAAUUGACAUAUAAUAUUAGUUUCAGGUGUACAAUAUAAUGGUUUAAUAUAUUAACUCAAUUAAAGGGCUUCACUGGCAAUUCCAUUCAACAGGGAAAGAAAAGUCUCUUCAACAAAUGGUGCAGGAGGAGUUCCUGAUGUGGCUCCGUGGUAACUAACCCAACCAGGAUCCAUGAGGAUGUAGGUUCGAUCCCUGGCCCUGCUCAGUAGGUUAAGGAUCUGGCAUUGCCGUGAGCUGCAGUAUAGGUCACAGAUGCAGCUCAGAUCUAGUGUGCCUGUGGCUGUGGCGUGGGCCAGCAGCUGCAGCUCUGAUUUGACCACUAGCCUGGGAACUUCCAUACGCCGUAGGUGCAGCCCUAAAAACGGGGGAAAAAUGGUGCAGGGAAAAGUGGGCAUCUAUGUAUAUAAAAAUGAAGUCACACCCUUACUUUAUACCACUAAAACUAUUAAACUCUUAGGAGAAAACAUGGGGGGAACCUUCAUGACAUUGGACUUGGCAAUGAUUUCUUGGAUAUGACAUCAAAAGCACAGGCAACAAAAGAAAAAACAGGUAAAUUAGACUUCCUCAAAAUUAAAAAACUCUACAAAUCAAAGCACACUAUCAGGAAGAGUGAAAAGGCAAUCCACAGAAUGGGAGAAGAUUUUGGCAAAUCAUAUAUCUGAUAAGGGAUUGAUAUCUAGGAUAUAUAGAAUUUCUAUAACUCAAGAAGAACAACAACAACCAAAAAAUCACAAUGCAAAACUGGGCAAAGGACCUGAAUACAUAUUUCUCCAAAAAAGAUAUACAAAUGGCCAAUAAGCAUAUGAAAAGAUGCUCAACAUCACUGGUUAGUAGGGAAAUGCAAAUCAAAACCUCAAUGAGAAAACACUUCACACCUACUGGUAGGCUAUUAUCAAAAAAAAAGGAAAGUUAACAAGUGUUAGCAAGGUUAUACAGAAACUAGAACACUUGUGCACUAUUGGUAGGAAGGUAAAAUGGUGCAGCCUGCGUGAAAAGCAGUAUGUUGGUUUCUCAAAAACAUAAACACAGAAUUACCACAUGAUCUAGCACUUCCAUAGAUGUAUGCCCCAAAGAACUGAAAGCAGAGACUCAAACGAAUACUUGCAGACCAAUGUUCAUAGCAGUAUUGUUCAUGCUAGCCAAAAGGUGGAAGUUACCCAAGCGUCCAUCGAUGAGAUGAACGAAUUUUUUUUAAAUGUGAUACACACAUACAAUGGAAUAUUAUUCAGCCUUGAACAGGAAUGAAAUUCUGAUACAUGCUACAACACGGAUGAAUCUUGAAAACAUAAUGCCACGUAAAAUAAUCCAGACACUAAAGGACAAACAUUGUAUGGCUCAACUUAUAUGAGGUAACUAGAAUACGUAAGUUCAUAGAGACGGGAAGUAUAAUAGAGGUUACCAAGGACCAGGAGAAGAAGAGAAUGGGGAGUUAUUGUUUAAUGGGUGCAGUUUCUCUUUGGGAUGAUGAAAAUGUUCUGGAAAUUGUGGUGAUGGUUGCACAAUAUUGUAACUGUACCUACUGCUACUGAAUUGUACACCUGAAAUGGGUUAAUUUGGUGAAUUUUGUUAUAUAUAUAUUUUAUCACUUUUUUUAAAGUCCUUUCAAGGGAAAGAGGGAGGCAGGAGAGUCAGAGAAAGCCAUGUGACAACAGGUGCCGACGUAGUAGUCAGAAAAAGAUUGGAAGAUGCUACUGUGCUGGCUUUGAAGGUAGGAGCCACAAGCCUCAAGCCAUGAACCAGAAGGGGCUAUGAGCCUAGGAAUGCAGUUGGCCACUAGAAGCUGGAAUAGGCAAGGAAACCCAUUGUCCCCUAGGCCCUCCAGAGAGGGUACAGUCUAGCUGACAUCUUAAUUUUAGUAAGACCCAUUUUGGACUUCUGACCUCCGGAAUUGGAAGAGGACAGAUUUUUACUGUCUUAAGCUGCUAAACAAAAAGUGAGUUGUGGCCAAAUAAUGUUCAUUUUUGUUCACUUUUCAAAUUCCAUUGCUUGUUCUUUUUUAGGGUUUCCUUGCUUAUAAAUAAAUAACUCAAUCUCUGGCUUGUC